AUUCCUCUACAAGUCCACAUGUGUUUUAUUAGCAGGCAGGCUGACCGGACUGUAAAUUCCAACGGCGGGCCGGCCUGAGGAUAUGCACCGCCCGACGUUGAGAAAGAAAGAUCACAGAAAAAAAAAAAAAAGAGACUGGCAUGGGAGGAAUUACCUCUCUCUUGUCCCCGCUCUUUUUUUUCCCUUUUCAACACUUCACUAAAAGAUCUUGGAUAAAUGGGAGUCAACAGAAAAAGAAGCCAGGAGCUUUGGAGGCAGGAUGUGGACAAAGUGUCGUACCACUGAGCUAAAGACAACCAGCAAUGAGGAGUUAAAUCAAACCGAGGGGAUUCAACACAGGCCUUGAGGAGAGGAUGUGGCCACAACACCCCCCCCCCACCCCUGAAACCAAAUAGCAUUGUUCCAUACAUUGUUGACACAUGUAUUUAUUCUUUUUAAGUCUGGAUAAAAUGCUUUUCAUUCGGAGUCUUGGGACAAUGGACGUGUGUUUUACUUUCCAAUGCAUGGACCUAUGUUGUCCCAGUAUGAGUUAGCGUGAAUUGAUCAAAUUUAAACAAAUUGGUCUGAUGUGAAACCACCAAACAUUUCCACAGGUUAAAACACACACAUGAACUGGAAGAGAGCCAUGAGUGAAUACACUGCCAAGAAAUGUAAAAUAAUUCCUCCUGUACACCAUAAAAGUCUUGGUAGGAGGGGAUGUUUGGCAUUGAAUCUCACUUGCCCAUGUCAUCUCCUGCUGCCCCAUUAGGAGGUAACACCCCACUGUCUCAUUACCUGCGGGGCUUUAGGGUAAAGAGGAUGUGGUCUGCUUAGCCAGGAUUUACUAAUGUUUUCCCCCCAACACAACGUGCAGACUCCAGCUGUGGGCCCAGACGCACAAGUUCAUGUUCUUGUUCCACAUGUACAUACACACACACAAUAAGCCCAUGAUGAAGGAUCAGGCACUGCAUGCAAAGCACUGACCUCAGAGUUGCAUGUGGAGGAUGAAAGGACAGAUAAUGGAAAGCAACGAGGACGAGAACCCAAGAUGAACGGUGAGAAGACGGGGGAAGUGUCUGUGCCACCAUGUCCCGGCCUGAAUAGUCUCAUCACAAGCAAGUUCACACCCUGUAGUCCAAUAUUAUUCAACCGUGAAUGUGUGUUUGUCCGUGUCAGUGGGUAUGCAUGUGCAGGCCGCCAUUAGUUGCUGUACCAUUGCUUUGCAAGUGUCAUUGUGGGGUCAGCCAGCAGAGUGUGCAGACACGGGAAAAUAACUCACCAGCAUGGCUUUUACACAGUGAACAGUUGGAUUUACACUGUGAAUCGGGGUGUCAAAGGGCAUUUCCUGGCUCCUUUUCAUCUGGACUAAGAGACACAAGACGAAAGCACAAAAAGGUUGAAGGUGGAGGGAAAGGGUAAGAGAAAGGGGACUGAAGCGGGAGUGUAAAAUGUGAAAAACGGGACAGAUAAAGGAGUAGUACACUGUGGGAAAGAAGGGGGGUGCAGUCCUGUAUGAUUAGUGCUUAGCUUUAGCUCUCUUUGUAGCUUGUCCAGGCCAUCUCCUUAUCUGGGUGGGUGCCACAUUCCGGCCAAAUUCAGCACUGUGUCUCCUCUGUCCGUCUCUGGGAUGCUGCUAAUGUGGCCAUUAUCUCUUUGAUUUGGAGAUAGGAGAUGUCCAACAACACUCUUUCCAAUUCAAUUCCAGUGUAACUUGGAUGUCUUGGGAAAAUGCUGCAUCUUAAUGUAGUAAGUUUUCAAACAAAUGUUUACAGUUUCUUACAGCUUUCAUAUGACUGGAACUAAUCACGAUGAACUCCCUAAAUAUGAAUUAUUAGCAGCAAUUUGUGUGAGUCACCGGAGAUGUUGCCAAAUCCUAAAGAAAAGGUCAGACGUGCCUAAUGCAAAAUUUUGUGGCAACCUAGAAGUGGAAACUAAGUGGGAAAUAUGGUCUCCUUGCAGGGUUGUGAUUACACUGGAGAGCUCAUCACUCAUUCGCAGGCGGUGAAAUGUAGCCGUGGGCAGAAGGACCAGCUUGACCCUGCAGUCGUCUGAAUAAUUGCCUGAGGGAGAAAUGUCUGGUUUGAUACUGGGGAUGGAGGAGGAGGAGGAGGAAGGAAGGAAGCAAAGAGAGAAAGAUUUGAGGAAAAAAAAGAAGAACGAGAGACGGCGAGAUAGCGGACUAAUGGACUGGGCUGUAAUAAGUCUGCAGGUAGAGCUGAUGCUAUCUCUCUGGCAGGCAUAUUCCUCACCAGUGUGGACACUAAAUCCCUCACGCGGACUCAGAAAGGCCUGACGAGGUUGGCCUUUCACAAAAGCUAAACCUUUAUCUGUACAAUGUAGAACAGGUGGAGUUUUUUUUACAUUAAUAACAUGUUAUUUUAUUUUACGCUGAAGUUCUUAAUAAAAAGAAUUGUCAA